GUAAGGAAUAUUGGUCAAUGGACGAAAGUCUGAACCAGCCAUGCCGCGUGGAGGAUGAAGGUCCUCUGGAUUGUAAACUUCUUUUAUCUGGGACGAAAAAAGGUCUUUCUAGAUCGUCUGACGGUACCAGAUGAAUAAGCACCGGCUAACUCCGUGCCAGCAGCCGCGGUAAUACGGAGGGUGCAAGCGUUAUCCGGAUUCACUGGGUUUAAAGGGUGCGUAGGUGGGUUGGUAAGUCAGUGGUGAAAUCUUCGAGCUUAACUCGGAAACUGCCAUUGAUACUAUCAGUCUUGAAUAUUGUGGAGGUUAGCGGAAUAUGUCAUGUAGCGGUGAAAUGCUUAGAUAUGACAUAGAACACCAAUUGCGAAGGCAGCUGGCUACACAUAUAUUGACACUGAGGCACGAAAGCGUGGGGAUCAAACAGGAUUAGAAACCCGAGUAGUCC
rnacentral:rRNA from 1 species